UCGGCAGGACGACCUGCCGGCGCAUCGCCUCGAUGGCGAGGGCGGCCUCG
rnacentral:ncRNA from 1 species